GGGGCUCAGCCGCAAGGCUGAGCUCAGUGGCGAACGGCUGAGUAACUCGUAGGUGACCUGCCCUGAAGUGGGGGACAACUCCUCGAAAGAGGGGCUAAUACCGCAUGUGAUCACCCAUUCAUUUGGAUGAUCAAAGGCGCAAGCCGCUUCAGGAGGGGCCUGCGGCGGAUCAGCUAGUUGGUGGGGUAACGGCUCACCAAGGCAAGGAUCCGUAGCUGGUCUGAGAGGAUGGCCAGCCAGACUGGGACUGAGACACGGCCCAGACUCCUACGGGAGGCAGCAGUUAGGGAUCUUGUGCAAUGGGGGAAACCCUGACACAGCAACGCCGCGUGAGGGAUGAAGGCCUUCGGGUCGUAAACCUCUUUUCUGAGGGAGGAAACCUGACGGUACCUCAGGAAUAAGCAACGGCUAACUACGUGCCAGCAGCCGCGGUAAUACGUAGGUUGCGAGCGUUGUCCGGAAUCACUGGGCGUAAAGCGCACGCAGGCGGCCUCGAAAGCCCAUGGUGAAAGCCCUCGGCCCAACCGAGGGAUGCCCAUGGGAACUCCGGGGCUCAGAAGACGGGAGAGGCGGAUGGAAUUUCCGGUGUAGCGGUAAAAUGCGUAGAUACCGGAAGGAACACCAGUGGCGAAAGCGAUCCGCUGGCCCGCUCUUGACGCUCAGGUGCGAAAGCUAGGGUAGCGAACAGGAUUAGAUACCCUGGUAGUCCACGCCGUAAACGAUGGGUGCUAGGUGUGGGCGGUGUCGACUCCGUCCGUGCCGAAGCUAACGCAUU
rnacentral:rRNA from 1 species